CCUACGGGAUGCAGCAGUGAGGAAUAUUGGUCAAUGGGCGCGAGCCUGAACCAGCCAAGUCGCGUGAGGGAAGACGGUCCUACGGAUUGUAAACCUCUUUUGCCGGGGAGCAACGGGGUCCUUGCGAGGGCCCACUGAGAGUACCCGGAGACAAAGCAUCGGCAAACUCCGUGCCAGCAGCCGCGGUAAUACGGAGGAUGCGAGCGUUAUCCGGAUUUAUUGGGUUUAAAGUGGUCGUAGGCGGGCUGUUAAGUCAGCGGUAAAAUGUCGGGGCUCAACCCCGGCCUGCCGUUGAAACUGGCGGCCUAGAGUGGGCGAGAAGUAGGCGGAAUGCGUGGUGUAGCGGUGAAAUGCAUAGAUAUCACGAAGAACUCCGAUUGCGAAGGCAGCAUACCGGAGCCCUACUGACGCUGAGGCACGAAAGCGUGGGUAUCGAACAGGAUUAGAUACCCUAGUAGUC
rnacentral:rRNA from 1 species